CGUGUAGGCGGCCUAGUGUGUCGGGCGUGAAAUCCCACGGCUCAACCGUGGAAGUGCACUCGAAACUGCAAGGCUGGAGUACUGGAGAGGAUGGUAGAAUGCUCGGUGUAGAGGUGAAAUUCGUAGAUAUCGAGCGGAAUACCGGUGGCGAAGGCGGCCAUCUGGACAGUCACUGACGCUGAGACGCGAAAGCGUGGGGAGCAAACA
rnacentral:rRNA from 1 species